UGUCUGUCGUCUGCGGCGAUGUAUUAUUUGUUUACUUGGAGCCGUCGCAGCAGAAGUCUCGUCUACUUUCACGGGGCCCCACCAGGGGGCAGCACAAUGCAGACCGCCCACCGGCGGGAUGAGAAAAUGGUGUGUCAUGAUAGAGCUCUGGUCAAUCGUCAAACCUCUCACUUUGGUUAUUCUUGACUCCCGCUUGGUGUCACCACCCACCGCGCAGAUCAAGGAAUAGUUUUUAGCACCGGCGGCGCAGAAACGCAACCCAAAGGAGCCUUUCCCCAGAUCGUCAGACAAUUGGUCCGAUAAAUCCCCCAGAUGCUCACCCAGGGGAGGGUCGUCGAGUCCUUCUCUUGACACAAAACAAAUGGAAUCUGGAUGGUAACAGAAGAAGGUAAACAAUUUGAGGGCUCGAUCCUCAAGCAUGUCGAGAUACUCAUACAAGACCAUCCGACCAUGGGCUGUUGUGAAAGCAGCAUGAACCAAACUUGUUGUUGGUUUGCUGUCUUCUAAAUCUUCAUGCUCAGUGAAAGUCAACUGCAUGAUGUUUUCAGUCAAAGGCAGGAGUCCAGAAAUAGUCAAUGAGGAAUUCUCUGUAAACGUUGACAGUUCAGCAAAGUUCUUGACAAAUGCUGUCUGGGGUCGCAGCGUUUUCUCUCCAAGUUUACCCCCUGCAAUGAAAAGAAAACUGUUGAGGAUCAACUUGGCAAGUGUGCGUUUCCCUGGAUUCUUUUUGAACUUGGACUUGUCCAGCACGAUACCAUCCUUGUCAAAAUGCAUUUUGAUAAAUUUAUCUUUUUGUUCUUCUGUCACAACAUGACUCGGCCAACCUGUGGACUCUAUUUUCAUUGCCAUGUUUUCCCUGACCUAAUUUUAACUCUGGUGCACACCAAGUUCCGAGCAUUUCUCUCUCCUUAUCACUAUGGUUACAAACAUUUUGAUUCAUCGUCUCAGCACAAGUUCUACACAGAGGAAAGAGAAGUUUCUUACAACAUCUAUAAGGAUCCCCUUCACAAAAUAUAUCUGGAUGGCCUUCAGGAUAACAUCUAUGAUGUUGACACGCCGGGUACUCGGAAAUUACGUCGAACAUCUUGAUUUUCUCAUUUUGCUUUAGAUCAGCUACAUAUUCACAAAACAACGCUGAAGUACGGCCACCAUAUAAAGCAUCUCGAAGAUUAAGUGGCUCAACUCGAGUAAAAGGGAUCCUCCUUCGAUCGACCUCUAAUUCUAGUUCUAGCAUUUUGAUCUGGAAUACACUUCUUACAAAGAUGAAAGUAACAACCAUGGUAUUGAUAGAUACGCUUCUCAAUAGAACCAUCUGCUUUUUGAAGUUCGACAUAGCCAUCCACAGGAUUGUUCAACACAUAAACUUCCCCCACCACGGGGGACAAUACCUAUUUGAGUACUGCCAAGAUGAUUUCUACGAAAAUUACACAUACAUGCAGAAGAUAAGGUUAUGCAAUUGAAAAGAGGAUCAAACCCGGCAGUUUCCAUAAAUAAAUCCUUGAAAGACUGUAAGGCUUCUCUUAAUAUAUUGACAUCUGAUUGACAGUAAGAAAUUAUUUCAUUUUUAAAAUUAAAUACAUAAUCUGAUGCUACUUGAUCAUCAUACCAUUUGUUAAAUUCAGCAAGAUCACCAUCAGAAAAUGAAGUGGUGCAGUAGAGAUCUUUUGGAGGCAUGGGGCCUGAAUAUUCCCAAUACUCAGAAGAAUUUCCGUAAUGGGGAAAGAAUCCUUUCUUUAACUCAGUUAAGCCAAAAGAUUUAGGUAUGCUGCUGAGUCUCAUUGGUAUAAACAUCAAAGAAUCUUUAAAAGAUAGGGCAUCUGUUGUUAAGUUUAAUAUUUUAGCACCAGAUAAGGUAACUUUAGGAGUGAUAUUUUUCUUCUCAAUCAAAGUCUUGGUGAUAAAAUAGCCAUCAUAUGAUUUUAAGUUAUGUGCAAAACAAGUAAUAUGUGUCCUUCGCUCACUCGUUAAAUCAGUUAAAUAAUUUAAAAAAUCAAGUACAACAUCUGAAUUUUCGUCAAAGCCUUCAAAGAUGUGCUCUCGCACGCCACAUUCCUCACAAUCAUUUUUAAUAUUACUAUCUUUCUCACAGUGAUCACAAACUUGCUGACAAAUUAACAGAUUUGGCUUGUGUUCUUUCCAGUUUUCUUUACCUUCAAAAG